rnacentral:lncRNA from 1 species
UUGGGAGGGCGCUGGCACAUGCGAUUACACGAAUCACAUCAACUCUGCCAUCUAAAACAAAAUUUCUGCUCAUCACUGGUAAACUAAUGUUCUUUCUCCGAGAUAAGCCAGAGUGCGAGGAAGAUAGAGGAGUUUCGAAAUCGCAAUUUAUUCUAUUUCGAUUCCUACCCGUUGCAUACAGAAAUUCCGUUGAGCAAUCUAAUUUAUGGUUGUACAUAUAUUGGUUCUAUAGAAAGAGGCACGCAACUUUGUACAGGUGCCUCAACAUCUUCAAAUCUCAAACAGAGCUUAGUUCGGGUGCAGCACUUGCGCGGUAAUAGUCUGCAGACAAUACUCUUGCAUAAUAAGAUGCCUCCCUCAUCUGUUCCACAGCAACGGAACACGUGCUGCGCUGUCCUCUGUUUGCAGUCUUCUUUCAUUAUUUUCUAGAUUUAGAGAUCCUCUGCAAACGUUCCAGUCUGGUUCUGAGCGUUGUAAAGGAAUGAUAAACACAGAUGAUGUGACUCCCAAAUCUGCAGUUCGGAUAUGUAAUUGUAAUUCCCCCAUACCUUUCGUAUCUCGUUAAUUGUAUGGCGGGAAAGCAAAGUUUGGCGUUGCAACGGUCAUAUCUCCCAAGCAGAGCUGAAUUUCCCCAGAAUUUUUCUUUAAUGCUUCUAUACUCCAAGAACCGUCAUUCGCACCAUUUUCUCCUCAAUU